GAUGAACGCUGGCGGCGUGCCUAAUACAUGCAAGUCGAGCGAAUGGAUUAAGAGCUUGCUCUUAUGAAGUUAGCGGCGGACGGGUGAGUAACACGUGGGUAACCUGCCCAUAAGACUGGGAUAACUCCGGGAAACCGGGGCUAAUACCGGAUAACAUUUUGAACCGCAUGGUUCGAAAUUGAAAGGCGGCUUCGGCUGUCACUUAUGGAUGGACCCGCGUCGCAUUAGCUAGUUGGUGAGGUAACGGCUCACCAAGGCAACGAUGCGUAGCCGACCUGAGAGUGUGAUCGGCCACACUGGGACUGGAACACGGCCCAGACUCCUACGGGAGGCAGCAGUAGGGAAUCGUCCGCAAUGGACGAAAGUCUGACGGAGCAACGCCGCGUGAGUGAUGAAGGCUUUCGGGUCGUAAAACUCUGUUGUUAGGGAAGAACAAGUGCUAGUUGAAUAAGCUGGCACCUUGACGGUACCUAACCAGAAAGCCACGGCUAACUACGUGCCAGCCGCCGCAGUAA
rnacentral:rRNA from 1 species